rnacentral:rRNA from 1 species
CACGUAGGCACCAAGCGUUGUCCGGAAUUAUUGGGCGUAAAGAGCUCGUAGGCGGUCUGUCACGUCGGAUGUGAAAACUCGGGGCUCAACCCCGAGCCUGCAUUCGAUACGGGCAGACUUGAGUUCGGCAGGGGAGACUGGAAUUCCUGGUGUAGCGGUGAAAUGCGCAGAUAUCAGGAGGAACACCGGUGGCGAAGGCGGGUCUCUGGGCCGAUACUGACGCUGAGGAGCGAAAGCGUGGGGAGCGAACAGG